rnacentral:rRNA from 1 species
GAUGAACGCUGGCGGCGUGCCUAAUACAUGCAAGUCGAGCGAACAGACGAGAGUGCUUGCACUCUCUGACGUUAGCGGCGGACGUGUGAGUAACACGUGGGUAACCUACCUAUAGACUGGGAUAACUUCGGGGAACCGGAGCCAAUACCGGAGAAUAUUUAGCUUGGCAUGAAACAAAAGGGAAAGGCGGUUGUGGUGUUACUUACAGAUGGACCCGCGGUGUAUUAGCUAGUGGGUGAGGUAACGGCUCACCAAGGCCACGAUACAUAGCCGACCUGAGAGGGGGAUCGGCCACACUGGGGCUGAGACACGGCCCAGACUCCUACGGGAGGCAGCAGUAGGGAAUGUUCCGCAAUGGACGAAAGUCUGACGGAGCAAUGCCGCGUGAGUGAAGAAGGUUUUCGGAUCGUAAAACUCUGUUGUAAGGGAAGAACAAGUACGUUAGUAACUGAACGUACCUUGACGGUACCUUACCAGAAAGCCACGGCUAACUACGUG